AUGACCGUCUUUAUCACAAACUUCGAUCACUAUGUUUUACUAGCUUCUAAGCCCCUUCCUCCAACUCCUGCUCCUGAUGAGUAUCUUGUAUCCCCCCCCCCCAUCACUGGGAAGAAGAUUCUUGCCAGCAAAAUGCAAGAACACAUUUGCAUUGGGCUUCUUGGCCCCCACUGGCUGGAGCAGCAGGAUUGCUCCAUAACAGAGUGAUGAUGAGGGUUACACACCAAGUCUGGAUAUUGAGAGCAGUUUAAAGACAGUUUGGGAGAGAAGAGACAGCCAUUGGUAAGAAGAUUGGUGAACAGGAGAUCUGGAAGCCAGAGGAAAAUGUGACUUGGGAUGGCCUUUCGGGCAGCAUGGCCCUGACCCAGCAGGCUGCCCUGACCAACAUCACCCUCCAGGAGCAGAUCCAGCAAGAAGACUGGCCCUAGCAAGCCCAAUGAAAUCCCUCAGCAGCCACCACCUUCAUGGUUAGCCACCAAUAUCCCCAGCUCAGCAACCCCCAUUGCAUCAGUGCCCUGGCCACCUGCAAUGCCACCUCUGGUCCCUACCACUGUUGUAGCUACAGUACCUGCCAUGCCUCCCCCACCUAUGGUAUCUGUGGUCUGGCUGCCCCCAGGCUCAGUGAUCAUCUCUAUGCCACCCAACAUCCUCAUGCCCAGGAUCAACAUGGUGCCUAUGCCUCCUGCAGCACCUCCCAUCCUGGCCCCCCACCUAUGAUUGUGCCAACAGCCUUUGUGCCUGCCCCCACCUAUGGUUCUGGUACCAAACCAAGCUCCAAUGUCUCCUGUACACCCCCUACCUCCUAUGGAAGAUGAGCCAAGAAACUAAAGACCAAGGACAGCUUAAUGCCUGAGGAAGAGUUCCUGCAUAAGAUGGAAUGGAAGCUGAGUGGGCAGGGUCUGGUCUUCAUUCUCCCAUUCACAGACCAGGUCUCUGCCAUCAAAGUGAAGAUUCAUAAGCCACAGGCAUGCCUGCAGGGAAACAAAAACUAUAGUAUGAAGGCAUCUUCAUCAAGGAUUCCAACUCCCUGGCUUACUACAACAUGGCCAUGGCCAGUGGUGCUGUCAUCCACUUCACCCUCAAGAAGAGAGGCAGUCAGAAGAAGUAG